GCCCUUGAGUUUGAUCCUGGCUCAGAUUGAACGCUGGCGGCGUGCUUACACAUGCAAGUCGUGCGAGAAAGGGGACUUCGGUCCCUGGGUAGAGCGGCGCACGGGUGAGUAACGCGUGGAUCAUCUACCCAAAAGUUCGGGAUAACGGCGGGAAACUACCGCUAAUACCGGAUACGCUCCAAUUUCGGUUGGGGGAAAGGCGGCCUCUGCUUGCAAGCUGUCGCUUUUGGAUGAGUCCGCGUCCCAUUAGCUUGUUGGUGGGGUAAUGGCCUACCAAGGCAACGAUGGGUAGCCGGUCUGAGAGGAUGAUCAGCCACACUGGAACUGAAACACGGUCCAGACUCCUACGGGAGGCAGCAGUGGGGAAUAUUGCGCAAUGGGGGGAACCCUGACGCAGCGACGCCGUGUGAGGGAAGAAGGCUUUCGGGUCGUAAACCUCUGUCGGGAAGGAAGAAUCCCUUAGGGCUAAAUACGCCCUGAGGCUGACGGUACUUCCAAAGGAAGCACCGGCUAACUCCGUGCCAGCAGCCGCGGUAAUACGGAGGGUGCAAGCGUUAAUCGGAAUCACUGGGCGUAAAGCGCGCGUAGGCUGCUUUUUAAGUCGGACGUGAAAGCCCUCGGCUCAACCGGGGAAUUGCGUUCGAAACUGGGAGGCUUGAGUCCUGGAGAGGGUGGCGGAAUUCCGGGUGUAGGAGUGAAAUCCGUAGAUAUACGGAGGAACACCAGUGGCGAAAGCGGCUUCCUGGACCGAUCCUGACGCUCAGACGCGAAAGCUAGGGGAGCAAACGGGAUUAGAGAC
rnacentral:rRNA from 1 species